UCCAGUUCUAGUCUUCAAUACAGCUACUCGCCUUUACUUCACGAAGCACUUCUUGUACUAUUUCAUGUAACAAUUCACGAGUGGUACAUGGACACCUGGAGGAGUUGUUUUUCUUCGGCUUCUAAAAUUCAGUCUUCACUGCACUAACGAUCUCCCCUUUAAUGAUUUAGUUUUAGAAUACAACGCACACACACUGCUUUAACUCAACCACCAUGCUUCAUGUUGUACUCUAUCAUUCCUCUUUCCUCCAGGAUCUAACCAGUGACUUUGGUGAACCGCUCUGAUACCAAUUGAAUGCGCAAGAUGGGUAUGCUAUAGUGUAG
rnacentral:lncRNA from 1 species